rnacentral:rRNA from 2 species
UGGCGGCAGUAGCGCGGUGGUCCCACCUGACCCCAUGCCGAACUCAGAAGUGAAACGCCGUAGCGCCGAUGGUAGUGUGGGGCCUCCCCAUGCGAGAGUAGGGAACUGCCA